AUGCUCCGCCACGGGGAGCAGGAGGGGGUUCCUCCUGGGGAAGGGAGAAAGGGGGGGAUCCCACGCACAGUUUCCCUUCCAGAAAACUCGCCAGUGCUCCCACGGCCCUGGGAACAGCCCGAUCCCUCCCCUGACCCCCUCCAGGCGCUCCGUGCCGGACCGGGCAUGCAGAUUUCGGCUCUCCAGCGGGGCACCGGGGCAGCACCGGGCCGAGCCCCCCCCAGCUGCCUGCCGGGGGCAGGAUCCCAACCACCCCGGCUCGGUGGGGGUCCCCCUCACCCCGGGGCUCCCCCCGGGGACUCUCCGCCUCGGCGGCUGCGGGAAGCGCCGUGCCCCCCGCCCUCUCUCGGCGCCCCCUCCCAAGGGGCUGGGGAUGCGGGGAUGCGGCGCGUCGCUCCCCGGAGGAGCCGGGGGGGUCACUCACCUCCCUGCAAGAUGCUUCAACAUCUAUGGCUUAAAAUGCUGUUGGAAGAUCACAUGCCCAGUUUAGAUCACUGCUGUCCUUUGCUGCCGCAGGGAGAGAGACACGAGGCCUUAUACACCCAGUGAGUUUUUGAUGUAUCCACCUCUCUGCUUGGGGAAACUACAUCCUGUGAUCUUGUUUGGUUCCUUCUGACACUUCCAAAAUGAAGUGUUUUUCAUGCUGUUAUCAAG
rnacentral:lncRNA from 1 species